UGCCAGCUGAGCACAACGGCUCCGGACCCGGGCCCCGAUUACAGGCAGGUCCACGACACCCAGGCAGACAGGGAGCUCAGCCUUCCCCCACAGCCACAGGAAUGACUCUCAGCAGCCAGGCAGCGGAGCACGCUGGCCACAGGCCACAGGCCCGCACCCCAGCCCCGACUACAGGCAGGGUCCAGCCAGCCCGGCCCCACGCCUCUGAAAGGCGGCGGCCCCAGACACCCACCUCCUUGCAGGGGGUCGCUCCGAGCACCUGCCGCAGAGCGCAGCGCAGGGGACGCGCACAACCCUGCUUACAGGGCCGUCCCCACAACGCUCCGCGCCACCCACCAGCCCCACAAAGCUGGGGGCUCUGACCUACGCCCGAGCUACGGGCUGGCCAUCCUGGCUGCAGCACAACAGCGUGUCUUCCGGAGCCCGGGGGGACCUCAAGCCCAGCUGCGGGCAGCCCCCCCCCCAAAAAAAGGAGCACCGGAGCCCAGACGGCACCCUCCGGCACUGCACUUCCUCCGCCUGCCCCCUUACAGGGCCUCGGAGGGGUCAUUCCUGGUGGCUGGCUAAAGCAGCAGGCCGCAGGAGGGCACGAUCCCUCCACCUGCCUUACAGGCGGGCCAAGCUGCUCCGGGUGACAAAGGGCUCCGCAGCUCCUGACGCGCACCCUGACUGCGGGGCGGUCACGCUGGCCACGCUGCCAGCAGGACAGGCAGCCACGCGGGCAGAGACCUGGGCCCCGACUACGGGCAGGUCCCAUUGCCCACGCUAGCACCAAGUGGCUUGGCUCUGCCCGAGCAAGCAAGGGGCAAGCCGGAGCUCUCCCCCUCCUCAAAUCUGGGGCUCAGGGAGGACCCUCCGUCGCUGCACUGAGCUCUUCUUUCAGGCCUGGGAAGCUGAAGCUAGUACGCUGCAGCGCUUUGUACAGAGGCCUAAAGGACAAGCACACUCGCUCGCUCACGCGCUCCAACAAGGACAGAGGACAAGAAGAAAGACACAAAGACAGGAGA